CCCCUCUCACGAUCAUACCUGGAGAGUUUCCAGUACUCUACCAGUCUUGGCUAUGGGAGGAAGAGUCAAGCAGAGGUAUAGCCAUUCCAUUCCUAGCUUGAGCAGUGGCUACUGAGCGGAAGACAAUCUGCUAAAACU